CCUACGGGAGGCUGCAGUGGGGAAUAUUGGACAAUGGGGGCAACCCUGAUCCAGCCAUGCCGCGUGUGUGAAGAAGGCCCUCGGGUUGUAAAGCACUUUCAGUGAGGAAGAACGCCUGGUGGUUAAUACCCAUCAGGAAAGACAUCACUCACAGAAGAAGCACCGGCUAACUCCGUGCCAGCAGCCGCGGUAAUACGGAGGGUGCGAGCGUUAAUCGGAAUUACUGGGCGUAAAGCGCGCGUAGGUGGCUUGAUAAGCCGGUUGUGAAAGCCCCGGGCUCAACCUGGGAACGGCAUCCGGAACUGGCAAGCUAGAGUGCAGGAGAGGAAGGUAGAAUUCCCGGUGUAGCGGUGAAAUGCGUAGAGAUCGGGAGGAAUACCAGUGGCGAAGGCGGCCUUCUGGACUGACACUGACACUGAGGUGCGAAAGCGUGGGUAGCAAACAGGAUUAGAUACCCUAGUAGUC
rnacentral:rRNA from 1 species